UGUUUCGGGGUUUAGGGUUUAGAGUUGAUGUUUUAGGGUUUAGAUUUGAAGGUUUAGGAUUUAGGGUUUAGGGUUACAGUUGAUGUUUCGGGGUUUAGGGUUUAGAGUUGAUGUUUUAAGGUUUAGAGUUUAGAGUUGAUGAUUUAGGGUUUAGAGUUGAUGUUUUAAGUUUAAAUUAGUUAACGAUAAGUUUUUUUUGUCAUAGUUAAUCAAAGGGUUAUAAAUGUCUUUUACUCUUCGUUAAAGAUAAUGAUAAAAGUGGUUAGUGUAAACAUAUGAAGUGGUACUUUGAAAAUACUAUUUUUGGCAAUUUUCCUUUAA
rnacentral:lncRNA from 1 species